GAUGAAGAACGUAGCGAAAUACGAUACGUAAUGUGAAUUGCAGAAUUCAGUGAAUCAUCGAAUCUUUGAACGCAUAUUGCGCUCUCUGGUAUUCCGGAGAGCAUGCUUGUUUGAGUAUCAGUAAACACCUCAACUUCCAUAUCUUUUUUGAAAUGGGAGUUGGACUUGAGUGAUCCCAACGCUUUUCCUCACCGAAAAGUGGCGGGUUACUUGAAAUGCAGGUGCAGCUGGACUUUUCUCUGAGCUAUAAGCAUAUCUAUUUAGUCUGCCUAAAAACAGAUUAUUACCUUUGCUGCAGCUAACAUAAAGGAGAUUAGUUCUUGUGCUGACUGAUGCAGGAUUCACAAAGACAGGCUUCGGCCGACUUUGUAAACUCGAUCUCAAAUCAAGUAAGACUACCCGCUGAACUUAAGCAUAUCAAUAAGCGGAGGA
rnacentral:misc_RNA from 1 species